rnacentral:rRNA from 1 species
AUUGAACGCUGGCGGCAGGCCUAACACAUGCAAGUCGAGCGGAUGAAGGGAGCUUGCUCCUGGAUUCAGCGGCGGACGGGUGAGUAAUGCCUAGGAAUCUGCCUGGUAGUGGGGGAUAACGUCCGGAAAAGGGCGCUAAUACCGCAUACGUCCUGAGGGAGAAAGUGGGGGAUCUUCGGACCUCACGCUAUCAGAUGAGCCUAGGCCGGAUUAGCUAGUUGGUGGGGUAAAGGCCUACCAAGCCGACGAUCCGUAACUGGUCUGAGAGGAUGAUCAGUCACACUGGAACUUAGACACGGUCCAGACUCCUGCGGGAGGCAGCAGUGGGGAAUAUUGGACAAUGGGCGAAAGCAUGAUCCAGCCAUGCCGCGUGUGUGAAGAAGGUCUUCGGAUUGUAAAGCACUUUAAGUUGGGAGGAAGGGCAGUAAGUUAAUACCUUGCUGUUUUGACGUUACCAACAGAAUAAGCACCGGCUAACUUCGUG